AUGGAAGGAGUUGAUUUUGUAGAAACCUUUUCUCCCAUUGCUAAAUUUACCUCUGUACGGAUCAUUAGUGCAUUAACCGCUUAUUAUGAUCUGGAAUUGCAUCAAAUGGAUGUUAAAAUAGCAUUCUUAAAUGGAAUGUUGGAAGAAGAAAUAUUCAUGAACCAACCUGUAGGUUUUGUGGAAAGGGGGAAUGAAGGGAGGGUUUGUAAAUUAAACAAGUCCAUAUAUUGUCUUAAACAAGCCUCACGUCAGUGGUAUAUUCUUUUCGAUAUUGCAAUCACGUCAUAUGGUUUUUCAAUGACGGAAGGCGACCAUUGUAUCUAUUUUAAGAUAAUGGGAAAUAAAUUUGUAUUGUUAUCUCUUUAUGUGGAUGAUAUUCUCAUUGCUUCAAAUGAUAAAUCUACAUUGAUGGAAGUUAAAACCUGGUUAUCCUCUAAAUUUGACAUGAAGGAUAUGGGGGAAGCUUCCUAUGUUCUGGGAGUGGAAAUACGUAGAGAUAGAAGGAAGAGAAUGUUGGGUUUGUCUCGAAAGGCAUAUCUCAAUAAUGUACUUCAGAGAUUCUCUAUGGAAAAUUGCAAGUCUGUUAGAAUACCUAUUCUUAGGGGAACUAAACUUAGUGAGGAAAUGUGUGCUAAAACUCCUGAGGAAAAGAAACAAUUGAGCAAUAUUCCUUAUUCAUCUGCAUUGGGUUCUUUAAUGUAUGCUAUGCUAUUUACAAGACCUGAUAUUUGCCAAGCAGUGGGUUUGUUGAGUAGAUAUCUAGUGAACCCUGGACUUGAGCAUUGGAAACACAUUAGGAACACUUUGCAUUAUGUCAAAGGAACUAUGGACUAUUUUUUGUGUUUUAAUGGACACAAUCUUCAGCUGUAG
rnacentral:rRNA from 1 species